AGCUCGUAGCGGGUUCUGACGUGCAAUCGAUCGUCAAAUUUGGGUAUAGGGGCGAAAGACUAAUCGAACCAUCUAGUAGCUGGUUCCCUCCGAAGUUUCCCUCAGGAUAGCUGGAGCCCGGAUUAUGUGUGUAGUUUUAUCAGGUAAAGCGAAUGAUUAGAGGUAUUGGGGUUGAAAUGACCUCAACCUAUUCUCAAACUUUAAAUGGGUAAGAGGCACAGCUUACUUAAGUGAAGUUGUGUGUGUGAAUACAGGGGCUCUUAGUGGGCCAUUUUUGGUAAGCAGAACUGGCGAUGCGGGAUGAACCGAACGCUGGGUUAAGGUGCCCAAGUCAACGCUCAUGAGAUCCCAUGAAAGGUGUUGGUUGAUACAGACAGCAGGACGGUGGCCAUGGAAGUCGGAAUCCGCUAAGGAGUGUGUAACAACUCACCUGCCGAAUCAACUAGCCCUGAAAAUGGAUGGCGCUCAAGCGUUGCACCUAUCCCCGGCCGCCGUGUGGAGUAGGCCAGUGUUGGUGACACGGCGUGUAGGAGGGCGCGGGGCUGUGUGUGUGUAUGCUGUGCAGGCUGGUGCGUGAGCCCAGCUGAAGCCGGCCCUGGUGCAGAUCUUGGUGGUAGUAGCAAUUAUUCAAAUGAGAA
rnacentral:rRNA from 1 species